UGAUGGACGUUACCCACAGAAGAAGCACCGGCUAACUCCGUGCCAGCAGCCGCGGUAAUACGGAGGGUGCGAGCGUUAAUCGGAAUUACUGGGCGUAAAGAGUGCGUAGGUGGUUAAGUAAGUUAUCUGUGAAAUCCCUGGGCUCAACCUGGGCAGGUCAGAUAAGACUGUUUAACUCGAGUAUGGGAGAGGGUAGUGGAAUUUCCGGUGUAGCGGUGAAAUGCGUAGAGAUCGGAAGGAACACCAGUGGCGAAGGCGGCUACCUGGCCCAAUACUGACACUGAGGCACGAAAGCGUGGGGAGCAAACAGGAUUAGAUACCCUGGUAGUCCACGCCGUAAACGAUGUCAACUAGCCGUUGGUUAUAUGAAUAUAAUAAGUGGCGCAGCAAACGCGAUAAGUUGACA
rnacentral:rRNA from 1 species